rnacentral:sRNA from 1 species
AGGUUUUUGCUUCUCAAGAUCUUUGAAUAUGACACAUAUGUUUUGGACCUCCAGGUAUACUGAAAUAUCCCUAUUUUUACUGAUUUUAUCUAUGUUUUAGGUAUAGGAUUUUGAGUCUUUAUGUUAUUUCUCAAGUCUUUUUAGUGUCUUUUCAGGUAUUUUAUGCAUUGAGACAACAAUGGAGAUGAGGAGACAUUUUGGAGCAAAAGCUAAGGAAAAAAAGCUAAGGACGAUUACGGAUUUCGGCCCAGCAAAGUCCAUGACGGUUUCAAAUUUACAAAAGUGGAAAUUUGUCCCAUAAGAUUUUCCUAUUUGCAUUAUUAGUCCCUGGACAUUUUAUAGGGCUUAUAUAUAGUUUUAGAGGUCAUUGUUUAGACCUAAGUUCAUUUUAUCAAGUUCUUUGCAAUCCCUAUUUUCAGAGACAUAAGAUAUUCAUCCAUUGUUUUCAGUGAUUCAUUCAGUUCUCAAUACAGUGAAGAGAUCCUUUCUUACUCUUAUCUU